ensembl:lncRNA
GAAUUAAUAGGCGAGCAUGGUUUCACAUUCAGUACUUUUACCAGCAGUGAAGGGCAGGACAGAUUCAGAAAUGAAGUAUCUGAGAGCAAAUGGCCACUCAGCAACUUCGUACCCUUCUUCAGAGGUUGAAGGCAACUGACCAAAUUUUACCUGGUUGUUCUGGCUACGUGAACCUACAUUUCUGGCCUUGCCUAUGAAGAGCUCUCAGUUGCAAGGAAAGCAUGCAGCACUUCAAUCUGUCUCUCCAUAAAUCUGCACAGGCAAACAAGGGCUAUGCAAGCUAACACCACCUGCCUCAUCCGUCCACAUCACUUUCGUCUGCUUCUGUGUUGAAAAUGAAGGCUCAAGGCUUGCAAAGGGUUCCCUUUGGCUGUGUUUGCACAACCUGAAUUCAUUCUCCUCCAUAAAUCCCAAAGUGCUUUGUCCAUUUUUCCAACUGAGUGUUCCAAAGAGAAUUUCCCUUGAUAGUGAGAGGCACAGCGACAACACCAUGGACCAAAGGUUCCCACUUUCGCUUUGCAAAUUAUUUACGGGGAAACAAAGAGGAUGCAGAACCUGAAGAGAUGUUUAUAACUGAAUUUCCUAUUUUUAAUCCAUUCUAGCUGAAGUUCCAUCUUCUUGUAAAAUAUUGAGUGUUCACCUCGGAAGCCUUGAAUCCUAUGAUUCAUAAUACAGUAUCCUAGAACUUCACUAUCUGAAUGGAAAACUGCUGAAAUCCCCAAAUGUUCAAUUUCUUUUUUAAACCACCACUAUUGUAACAGUGGUAGCAUACAUUUUCUCACCUUCCAUUUCAGCUUAUCCAGCUUGGCUACAGAUCCGGUAUACUCCUAUUACUACAGAGGAGGGGAAGGGGUGCCUUCUUUAAAGUUGUCUCUGCUGCUAAGAUGGGACGGAACUGGUGCCCAUGCCAUUCCACUGCACUGCAUACUCAUGCUCUAUCAGAGCACUUUCAGGCCUUACUGCUUACAUGAGGCGUACAGCAAUCUGUUUGUAACAGCAAUCUGAUGUGUGUGUAC